AAGCAACUCCUCUCAGGGGAAAUCCAACUCCACCGCUGGAAAUGCAGGCUGCAGAGUGUGAGGUCUGGGAAGGCUGAUGGAUCCCCAGUGCAGAAGAGUGCAUCCCCCAGAGCAGACAAGCAACGAAGGCCUUGAACUGUAUGUAAGAGUGAAUGCCUCCUAGGUGCCCUGAAUUGAAAAUUCCUGAGUAGUUCUGCAGUGGGAGAAGAGAAGGACUACAUCCAACAUUCAAGAUAAUACCAACUUCUCAGAAAUUUAAAAGCCACCUUAUUCAACACCCUUCUUUGAACAGUGGCGUGGAUGAGUUCUGUG